rnacentral:rRNA from 1 species
UACGUAGGGGGCAAGCGUUAUCCGGAUUUACUGGGUGUGAAGGGAGCGUAGACGGCGAUGCAAGUCUGAAGUGAAAGGCGGGGGCCCAACCCCCGGACUGCUUUGGAAACUGUAUGGCUGGAGUGCAGGAGAGGUAAGUGGAAUUCCUAGUGUAGCGGUGAAAUGCGUAGAUAUUAGGAGGGACACCAGUGGCGAAGGCGGCUUACUGGACUGUAACUGACGUUGAGGCUCGAAAGCGUGGGGAGCAAACAGG